rnacentral:piRNA from 1 species
AGUUGAUUCAAAUUCUAGUAAGCGU